rnacentral:rRNA from 1 species
UGAGGAAUAUUGGGUCAAUGGGCGAGAGCCUGAACCAGCCAAGUAGCGUGCAGGAAGACGGCCUUAUGGGUUGUAAACUGCUUUUAUAUGGGGAUAAAGUGAGCUACGUGUAGUUUAUUGCAGGUACCAUAUGAAUAAGGACCGGCUAAUUCCGUGCCAGCAGCCGCGGUAAUACGGAAGGUCCAGGCGUUAUCCGGAUUUAUUGGGUUUAAAGGGAGCGUAGGCCGCCCCUUAAGCGUGUUGUGAAAUGCCGCGGCUCAACCGUGGCACUGCAGCGCGAACUGGUCUUCUUGAGUACGCACAACGUGGGCGGAAUUCGUGGUGUAGCGGUGAAAUGCUUAGAUAUCACGAAGAACUCCGAUUGCGAAGGCAGCUCACGGGAGCGCAACUGACGCUGAAGCUCGAAAGUGCGGGUAUCGAACAGGAUUAGAUACCCUGGUAGU